GGAGGAGGACGACGAAGGAAGGCGCGGUAGUUGAUACAAACAAAACAAGCGAGUGGAACUCAUUGUGAGAUACGUUUUUUUUUAUUAACUCUACAGUCUUGUCGUGAUAUUGAUUUUACCGAUAGUUGAUAUUCCAAGGUUUCUUUGAUUUGUUCUGUGAACAUUGUCUUCAUUAACAGUAACGAGUGAAUUCAGGUUACUCAGUGGUAUAUCAUCUUAGAAAUAUUAAAAUCUGUCAUUGUGUAUCAAGUUCAAGGUUACCUAGUCCGAGUUCAUCUACAGCGCAUAAAGGUGUGUUUACGACCACAAGUACCACAACUAACUAACAAAAUGGUUCACUGGAAAACGAAAAAGAAAAGAUCAAUAGGACUUUAAUGAACGUUAAUAUUGAAAGGAACAAUGGUUUCCAUUAUGAGGGUUUACAUGAGCCGAUCAUUUAAAAUCUUACUCUAAACAACCAGUAACUUGUUUAUGAAGAAUCUCGGAGAAGUUCUGAAAGACGAAAAUCGAGGGAGAGAUGGACUCUGCGUUAGAUUGGAUGUACCACUGGGCGGCGUCUUGGUCAGAACCAGAACUGUCAGAAUAGACGUUCUUACCUUAAGGGUAAGUAACUACCUACCUAAUUUGAGUGAAGAAAGAUACCAUAAGUAACGUAUUACUAUUUGAUAUCCCGUGGCUAUUUGCCGUAGAAUAAUACGCUAACCAAAGUAAUCGAUUUUGUAUGUCAAACCGCAUAGUUAUUGAGGCUUGUGUUAAAGCAACUGUCACGUUAUGUUUAUCGGUUAUCGACUCUUCGCAUACUUAGGGAACAUGUCAGCUAUCGAAUAAAUUGGCUAUUGUGAGCAUCAACACCAAACAUACAAUACAGCGUCGCACUAGUAUCAGUCCUACCAUUAUGGUUUGUUUGAACCGAUGGAAUUGGUCGAAUCUUCGCCUAAGGCAUUUUUUCGACAAUGGGCAAAAAUAAUAAAUUCUGAUGAAACGUACAAUUUUUGAAAGUUUUUAGAGACCCUUAGAAAUGUAUCCUGAACUUCGAAAAAUAUUAGAAUGGUUUUGUAGUGUUUUUUCUAAUUUUUCAUUAAACCCCCGCUUAAUGAAAAGUACAAUUUUUGAAAGUUUUUAGAGACCCUUAGAAAUGUAUCCUAAACUUCGAAAAAUAUUACAAGGGUUUUGUAGAGUUUUUUCUAAUUUUUCAAUAAGGGGACCAUCUCUUUAGCUUCGAGGUACCUACAAAUUAUAAUAACAUUGAAAUAAAUAUCCUUGUCAGUUGUCAACACCCGGGCACGCAAAAAAUUGGAACGUGCAGAUCGAACAGUCUAGGUCAAGUGAAAUCAAAGCGUGGUGAUAUUUUUUGAGGGUACCGUACCUCAAAUAGAAAAGUUACCCCUUAGGAUCACUUUGUUGUCCACUGGUCAGUCCGUCUGUCAAGCAAGACAGUUUAACUCGGGCACGUGUGGAGGUAGUUUCAAACGAUUGAGU
rnacentral:misc_RNA from 1 species